UUUCCGUAGGUGAACCUGCGGAAGGAUCAUUAUUGUAUAACAGGGGUGCGAGGGCUGUCGCUGACCCGUGACGUCGUGCACGCCCGAGUGCCCUCGCGCACAUCCGUCUCACCCCUAUUUGCACCACCGCGUGAGUCCCCCUUUGGCUUGUUCGGGGGGGGUCUUGCGUUUUCACACAAUCUUUGUAUGCAUUGCACUAUGUAUAUUUUGUUUUUACCACCACUCAUUCAAUACAACUUUCUACAACAGCUCUCUUGUCUCUCGCAUCAACGAAGAACA
rnacentral:misc_RNA from 1 species